AUUGAACGCUGGCGGCAUGCUUUACACAUGCAAGUCGAACGGUAACAGGCCGCAAGGUGCUGACGAGUGGCGAACGGGUGAGUAAUGCAUCGGAACGUGCCCAGUCGUGGGGGAUAACGCAGCGAAAGCUGCGCUAAUACCGCAUACGAUCUCUGGGUGAAAGCGGGGGACCGAAAGGCCUCGCGCGAUUGGAGCGGCCGAUGUCAGAUUAGGUAGUUGGUGGGGUAAAGGCCCACCAAGCCAACGAUCUGUAGCUGGUCUGAGAGGAAGACCGGCCACACUGGGACUGAGACACGGCCCAGACUCCUACGGGAGGCAGCAGUGGGGAAUUGUGGACAAUGGGCGCAAGCCUGAUCCCGCAAUGCCGCGUGCAGGAAGAAGGCCUUCGGGUUGUAAACUGCUUUUGUACGGAACGAAACGGUCCGGGUUAAUACCCUGGGCUAAUGACGGUACCGUAAGAAUAAGCACCGGCUAACUACGUGCCAGCAGCCGCCGUAA
rnacentral:rRNA from 1 species